rnacentral:lncRNA from 1 species
GAAAUAUAUGUGAUUAUAUUAUCUGCCAUAUUGUAUUUAAUUUUGUUUAUAUUUAAUAUUGAUUUAUAUUUAAUAAAGUAAAAAAGUGAUGCGUAACAUUAGCAAGAGUCAGCAGUUACCCUAUAAAAGUGGUCGAAAACUGGCUAGUUCAAAUAGAUUUCAGAAACUCAGUGACAGACACAUCCUGUGUGUUUGGUUGCAUAAAUUGACUUGUUGGAUGAUGUUGACGUGAAAAAAAUAAAAAAGAAAGGUGCUAUAGACAGGAAAAGAUUACAUUAGAGCAGGAACAACAUGACCAACUAUCAUAACCAAGCUGACCUCCUGGACUAACCAUGCACUGGAACUUCAGGGCCAAAUGAACUCAUCUCUGUAGAAAUUAAAUUUCAAUAGAUUUAUAACAAAGACUUCAGGAUUUACUUCUCUCCAAACCCUUUGUCUUCAGCAGUAGGGAAAAGGAGGGAGUACUCCUAGCCCCACGCUUGGCUUGCACCGCUGAUGACCUCAGCUGAUUGCAGUGAUGCAAUAAUGUGGGAGUGAGGUCAUAAGGAACAGCAGGUGGGAUACUUGGGGGUCUUGUAGUCAGGGGUCUUGCAGUUGGGGGUAGAGGGUUCAGUCUGCCAACUUGUGGAGGCAGUUCAGCAUCUCCUGAAGAGCAAGGAGACUGUCUGCUGUGAUGGAAGAUAGAGGAGGUUUCUUCAUGCCUGCUUUCUCACAUUCACAUGAAGAGCCCACACAACCAGGGAGAGCUGGCUGACUAAUGGGUGAUAGAGAGGAAACAGUGACAGGCAGGAAGGCAGCAGUGGGGCACAUGGGUCCAGCGGAGAGUGGGAUGCGGGGGCUCGCCCCUAGCUGCUUGUUGCAUCUUCCCAGGGUCAUCAUUUGCACUCCUGAACACAUUUCAUCUGCCAGCUCUGCUGUAACCCCACAGCUUGAAAUUCAACUUGGUGUCUCAAAUGGGUAUUGGAUGUAGUAAGGUGGCUGUUGUGCGUGAAGUGUCACACAUUGUUAAGGCUUGUGCUCUAAUUAACUCAAAGUGGCAUAGACCAGGAUUGUAUAAUUGUGUCCUUAUUAACACGUGAGGCUUGACAGGAAUUACUGGGCUUGGUUAAUGUUAAUGUUCAACAAGUUAAUUUGAUGUAAGUGAAUCAAUAUCUUUCCCAAUGUCAUGUUAAGUUAAACAUACAUAAAAUAUCAAAAAAAAAAAAAGAAAAGGCUAACUUUUCUUCUUAUUGAGGCUGAUGUGCCUUAGGUUUCUUUAAAAGGAAACAAAAGUAGGAAUCCUUACCUAUCCAUAGCAUUUGAGAUCAGAUCAUCUGAGGCUUUCUCUCUCCAAACUGACGUGCCUCUGAUACUUUACUACAGAGUUAGACAACAACUUAGCCUCUGAGAAGCGUUGUUUCCUAUGUGCAUGUUUUGAGGUGUAAAUUCUGUUGAAUGCUCCAUAGCAGUUUUGUAGAUCUGGUGCUCACAUAUCCCUUGUCAUUAAUCCUGGAAAUAAUUUCUAAAGCUGGAAUUCCAUUUUUAAGUUCAUCCUCCUCUCAGGACAGACUGGUUAAAUCCACUACCUGAGUUCCUGCUCAAAAGCCAGCAUUGCUUGCAGGUGGAGACAUCAACACUGUGUACCAACGUUAGCUCAGUCUUCCCAAAAAGCACAGGGAUUGCUCGGCUGAGUCCAGCUCCAUCAAAGUAGUUUUAUGUGGUUUUAAAAACAGCCCAGUGACACGUAGAGGAAACAUGCAGCAGCCAAUUUGCUCCUUUUGCAUAGCUGGGAGCCAGAGGUUGGAGAAUAAAUUCAGUCUACAGUGGGUAAAUAUGGGGAGG